rnacentral:rRNA from 1 species
AACGAACGCUGGCGGCAGGCCUAACACAUGCAAGUCGAGCGCCCAGCAAGGGGCGCGGCAGACGGGUGAGUAACGCGUGGGAACUUACCCUUAUCUUCGGGAUAGCUCCGGGAAACUGGAAUUAAUACCGAAUGUGCCCUUUGGGGGCCAGUUUUAUCGAGUAAGGGUCGGCCCGCGUUGGAUUAGCUAGUUGGUUGGGUAAAGGCCUACCAAGGCGACGAUCCAUAGCUGGUCUGAGAGGAUGAUCCGACACAUUGGGACUGAGACACGGCCCAGACUCCUACGCGAGGCAGCAGUGGGGAACAUUGGACAGUCGGCGCAAGCAUGAUCCAGCCAUGCCGCGUGAGUGAUGAAGGCCUUAGGGUUGUAAAGCUCUUUCACCGGAGAAGAUAAUGACGGUAUCCGGAGAAGAAGCCCCGGCUAACUUCGUG